AAAACCGGUUGAACCGGCCGAAUUUUGUUAAUCAAAAAACGGUGACCCGCUCUGAAGUGGAGGAAGAAAGCGUCGAUGGUAGAAGAAGAAGACGACGGAAAUGUUGUCGUCGUCGUCGAACACACAAUAUGGUGAGUUUAGGGCAUCGCACAUAUUGAUAAAGCACGAAGGUUCUAGAAGGAAGGCUUCGAGUUCGAGGAAGGAUCCAGAACACCACCAGAGAAAGUGCCGUUUCUCCACGACGACAUCGUUUUGUUGAACUGCAUUGAGCUAAAAGUAUAUAUAUUUGAAUCUGUGGGAGAAAAUGUUAAUGGUUGAAAUUUUCUGGAGGUGAUGAAAGAGGCUUUUAUCAAACAAGUGAUAGACAUGGCCCAUCAGCUACAUGUUUAUGCUAGUACUACAGGCCAUUGGGAUGAGCAUAUCUGGAGAAGGAAUGCAAGCAGCUGGUUUUUGACACUAUUUGAUCUUGAGUUGUAAGUAUUUGAUAUGUUUUCAUCUAAAUUUUAAAAAUUGGACCAAAUCAACUUGAAAGGUUGAACAAAUCAAGUCUUAAAAUCUUUACACGUCAAGCAAGUUUAAGGGUAGCUAGCUCAGUAUGCUUUUAACUGUCCCAAGUCACAUGGAAGAGAGAGGGUGUUUGUGAGCUUAAUUCGUGAAUUUUAUCGUUAAAUGUAUUUUACACUUGUGUUAUUUAUGUUAAAAG